UGUGGAAGCGCAGUAAUGCGUGCAGCUGACCAGUACUAAUAGCUCAAUUGGCUUGAUUUAUG
rnacentral:rRNA from 1 species